UGGGGGAUAUUGCGCAAUGGGGGAAACCCUGACGCAGCAACGCCGCGUGAAGGAAGAAGGUCUUCGGAUUGUAAACUUCUUUUGUCAGGGACGAAGAAAGUGACGGUACCUGACGAAUAAGCUCCGGCUAACUACGUGCCAGCAGCCGCGGUAAUACGUAGGGAGCGAGCGUUGUCCGGAUUUACUGGGUGUAAAGGGUGCGUAGGCGGCCGAGCAAGUCAGUUGUGAAAACUAUGGGCUUAACCCAUAACGUGCAAUUGAAACUGUCCGGCUUGAGUGAAGUAGAGGUAGGCGGAAUUCCCGGUGUAGCGGUGAAAUGCGUAGAGAUCGGGAGGAACACCAGUGGCGAAGGCGGCCUACUGGGCUUUAACUGACGCUGAGGCACGAAAGCAUGGGUAGCAAACAGGAUUAGAUACCCUGGUAGUCCAUGCCGUAAACGAUGAUUACUAGGUGUGGGGGGACUGACCCCUUCCGUGCCGCAGUUAACACAAUAAGUAAUCCACCUGGGGAGUACGGCCGCAAGGUUGAAACUCAAAGGAAUUGACGGGGGCCCGCACAAGCAGUGGAGUAUGUGGUUUAAUUCGAAGCAACGCGAAGAACCUUACCAGGUCUUGACAUCCUGAGAAUCCUUAAGAGAUUAGGGAGUGCCUUCGGGAACUCAGAGACAGGUGGUGCAUGGUUGUCGUCAGCUCGUGUCGUGAGAUGUUGGGUUAAGUCCCGCAACGAGCGCAACCCUUGCUAUUAGUUGCUACGCAAGAGCACUCUAAUAGGACUGCCGUUGACAAAACGGAAGAAGGUGGGGACGACGUCAAAUCAUCAUGCCCCUUAUGACCUGGGCUACACACGUACUACAAUGGCCAUUAACAGAGGGAAGCAAAACCGCGAGGCAGAGCAAACCCCUAAAAAUGGUCCCAGUUCGGAUUGUAGGCUGCAACCCGCCUACAUGAAGUUGGAAUUGCUAGUAAUCGCGGAUCAGCAUGCCGCGGUGAAUACGUUCCC
rnacentral:rRNA from 1 species